rnacentral:rRNA from 1 species
AGUGAACGCUGGCGGUAGGCCUAACACAUGCAAGUCGAACGGCAGCACAGUGAGAGCUUGCUCUUACGGGUGGCGAGUGGCGGACGGGUGAGGAAUACAUCGGAAUCUACUUUUUCGUGGGGGAUAACGUAGGGAAACUUACGCUAAUACCGCAUACGACCUACGGGUGAAAGCAGGGGAUCUUCGGACCUUGCGCGAUUGAAUGAGCCGAUGUCGGAUUAGCUAGUUGGCGGGGUAAAGGCCCACCAAGGCGACGAUCCGUAGCUGGUCUGAGAGGAUGAUCAGCGAGACAGGAACUGAGAAAGGGGCCAGACUCGGAAGGGCGGCAGCAGUGGGGAAUGGUGGGCAAAGGGGGGAAGCCUGAUCCAGAAAUAACGCGGGUGGGAAGAAGGACGUCGGGUUUGAAAGCCCUUUGGUUGGGAAAGAAAAGAAGCAGGUUAAUACCCAGAUGUUCUGACGGUACCCAAAGAAGAAGCACCGGCUAACUUCGUG